GCCCUGAUAGCUCAAUGGUAGAGCUUUGGUUCAGAAAUCCAAAGUCCAGUGGUUCGAUCCCCGUCCAGGACA